rnacentral:lncRNA from 1 species
AACAACUAAAACUCUUUUGAUUAAAUGGAAGUGACACAAUCCAGCCAGGAAGACAGAAACCUGACAAGUAAAACAAGGAUACAGGCAAACUGCACCCACAACACACCACUUGAUCAUAUUCAUACAAUAGUGUUGGCAGCAUGCUGCUGGGCCUCUCCGGCCUCGUCCUAGUAGAUAGCCUCGUCGGUGUCGCACUGUGAUGCCUCUCGUCGUGCUGUUCAGCCUGGUGCUCGUGCCCCCUGCGCUCGCCGUCACUGGGUUCAUCGCCAUCAGUGUGCAUACCUUGUUCUGAUAACAGUGAUUGAGUUAUCAUGUUUAUUGUCCUGAACCUAGAGUCAAACAAAACCAUGCUUCAGGGACAUUCACACGCAAAGUAGAGAUAAACAUCAUGCAUAACUUUGGCUAGACCAAAUUGCAGUGUAGUUUGGUCGUACCUCAACGAAACGCCAAAGACGCCAUCCGGCACCCACCCGUUGCAUUCGGUGAUCAAAUAGUAGGACCUACAAACUGGUUAUACACUAAAAAGCUAAGCAUGCAAGAUCAGUCUAAACCUAAAACAGAUUUAGCAAACAGAACCACAUAUAACUCCCAAGCAAGGAAAGGUACCUCUGCAUCAGUAGAACACCUGUGAGUUGCAACGGGUUGCAUUGACGACUUCUUUUUUUACCAUUCAAGCACCCUUCUUCUCUUCCUUCUCCCAGCUAAAAAUGUUUCUCUGAGUGAUAUGUCAAUGGUUAAAUUUACACUACAUAAAGGAAGGCGAAAUGGCUCAUCAUGAGAUAUGACUCACUCGUAUGUAAUCAUAAACAUCAUAUUCUUGUUUCAUCAAGCAACAGAUAACAUGGCUGUACACAAUGGCCAUGCAAAACUGGUAAAGAAAACAAACAAUUGGACCAUGGUAUGUUUCCAAAUGAAAUUGAUGUGCAUUGCAAUGGAAAGUAUGGAACCUAUCUUGGAAUAGUUGCAGAAAACAAGAGAAUAUGGGUGAAAGACUAAAAUAUUUGUUGCAACUAAUCUAAUUUUCUUAAAAUUAGUUUACCUACAAAAUCACCAUUCAGUCUGGUAGUUCAAAGGAUGUGUUUGAUGUCAGUUCAGAAGGUUGAAUAUGAGACUAUACCAGAAGCAAAGGAUUCCCUGAAGGAGUAGCUAUUGAAGAUAUUUCAUAUUCUUUAUGUCGAACAGGUGUGACUGGCUGGUAUUAUUUUUCAAACAAGUGUCUUCUGACAUGUCAAAUAUCCAAUUAAAGUGUGACCUACCUAGACUGAAACCAAAGUUCAUAGACAUGCAUAUAAACUGGAAACUAUCCUCACAUAAUUCAACAUACUGAAAAACAUGGUUGAGGAUUUAUUUAUUUUAGUACAAUGCAUUAGGACUACGAAUCCAUGGCCUCCAAUUUCACUAUAAAAUUGGAUCAAACUAAGCUAAGGAUGCAAGGAACAUUACCUGCCUCAGAAACUUCAUAUUGCUUUCUCUUCCGUCUAUAACAAAAAGAAUAUUAUAGAAUCAGUAUCUCUGUAUACUGCUUGUAGGUAAUUUCCUCCAUGCUUUUGAAUUCCCGGAUGCUUGCAAGGUAAUCUACUUGUUUUCAGUAAUGAGAAGCAAUGCAGGUCACCAAUCUGUAAUUGCCUACAACCCAUCCUGAUUAAAAGCAAGUUCCAGAAAACAAAUCUCUACUCCUAAUCAUGCAACAACUUUUCUAGCCCGUAGUUAGGCAGAAAUUAGAUUACAAAGGAUAAAAAAAGAGAAGGAACUCGAACGAAUGGAUCCCGCGCCACAACCCCGACAUGCCACCGCUCUUCCUCAAGAAGCAACACCGCAUGAUACAACUAACUGUAGCCCAUGCUGCUCAUGACAGCCGCACACAGACCACGAACGCCGCACCACCUUCCGGUGCCGCUACCCCCACCACUUUCCCUCAAGCACUAACGCCGAACGAUACAGCUACCCGCAGCUCACGCUGCUCAGGCCAACCGCACAUAGACCAUGAACGCUGCACCACAUCCUGGGCCGCUGCCCCAACAUGUUGUCUAACAGUCCCGACUGGGGCACAUUGACGAAGCUGACAACCUUGCUACUUCCGCACUUCAAGGUCCUCACCCAAGCCAUGCCGACAAGCAGCCCUACCUCUUGGAGCUGUUGUCGUAGUACCGCCCGAGGCCGCAACCUCGACACUUAAUAGAAGAUCUCGGAGCCGCAGCCCCAACAUACACCGCCCUUGAAAACGAAAGAUCCCCACACGACAUCCAAAGGCUGGCCCUCCAAGGCAACGCCUCCGAAGAUGGUUACGGCGUAAACGCCGCCGCCACCCACUCCAGAAAACUGGAUUUUAGGUUCUCACCUGGAGAGCCCAAGCACAUGAAAGGAUAGGAAAGAUGUCUACGACUAUGCCUCUAAGAAGGUCACGGAGCUUUCGCUCGAGUCCCUGAUCUCCUAUCAGUGAGCUUGCUUGCAAAUCUGGUCAUGCAAUGAUACCCAGGCCAUCAGAGCCAAGCACAUUGUGUAGGUCACCCCCCUGUCGUCAGCCGGCAUAGCCCUCAUGCGACGACCAGCUACAGCAACUCAUGCGACAUAGAAACAACGCGGUUGUCAGGGUCAGAUCUGAGUGCAUCAGCCCAAGGCCGCUGCCCCAGCAUUCUCUGGCGCCGCAACCACUGGCUACCCCACUGCAGAUCCAUGAAACCAGGAGAAAAACGUCAUCAAUCUGCAGAGCAGCACAGUCACACCUCUCGCCGCGAAGAAACGCACAACGCCCAUAUGUCCACCCUCGCGCAUGCUAGGCGCCAGAUCCACGCCCACCUCGCACCUCCGCCCCGGACCAAUGCACACAGUCGGCCGGAGCACCUCUACGCCUUACUUCGCCAGCGCACAUGCCAGAUAGGUUCGCACCCUGGCUGAACCCGCGGUCACGCGCACCAACGCGCCAUGCCGCCGCCAGCUCGCCCUCACCAAUAAAUAUAAACGAAAAGUGAAAUUAUGUAGUCUUAAUUGCACAAUCAAAUCAUCCUGAAGCAAAUAAAAAUGUAGUUGUUCAUCUAAGGUUGCAUACCUAGUAGUUGGAAAUUGGAAGCACUUAGAAAUAAGCACAACAUAUCAGAAACACAAUUUUCUUUUCUAUCAUCGAUCUCCCCCACAUGAAAAGAAUAUAGUAUGCUCAAAAAUCAUUAUUCGUCACAAAGGAUGUAUUUAACUAAAAUGCAUAAGACCAAACAAUGCACAAAAAUGGUAAUAGUAGGCAUAAUUGUUAUCCGAGUAGUGCUAACCAGAAACUACGUAUGUCCAUUGUGUCGAUCAUCCAUACGUUCGGAUAAAAUAUAAUUUGGUCGAACCAAGAAAUAAAAUGAAAGUUAUUUUUUACUCAUGCUAACAGACUACCUUGAGUUUCCAUUUUCCUGCAAACUCAUGAAUAAUGUUUCCUUUUCUCUUCUCUUUGUAAGACUAAUUCCCAAAUUCCAUCUGGUACUAAUUAAAACAUAUAGAAAUACCAUGAGAAUACUCGUACAUGUCUAAAAUACCAGUUGCAAACUGACCAAAGGCCUAGUAGCGCAAGUAUGUAAAUUGGUAUCAAGGAGAACUUAUGCAGCAAUUGGUGCAGACUAAUCCUAUAUAAUUAAAACAGUUAACUUCCCGUGACUAGUACAGUCAAUAAAGUAUCACGUUCAAGACAAAUCUGAUAUAGUGUGAAUAAAUUAAUAAGUAAAUCAAUAUGGUGCAUACUCUAAAAGGUCAGAUCUUUGAUGUCGUAGAAGUUACUAACCUUCUGCUUGUUUCAAAAAUCCCUACAGAAAAAAGGAAUACAUUUCAAGCUCCAGCAUGAACCAGCAAUUUAUUAUGUGAAAAACGUUCUUAUCGGCAAUAGAUAUUUUCAGAGCAAAAGAUAGUAUCCAAUCUUAUAAGGAACUCUAUAUUAUGAAACUCCCACUCAUAGGUGUUAAUAUGAGACCUUCAUGAAAUAGAUCUAAACCGAGGGUAGUAUUUCAUAUCAGUUAUUUUACCAUAUGAACUUGAUACUAUUACUAUCAUCGACAGCAAAACUGACACAAUUUAUUUUUAUAAAAAAUAACCAUAAGGAAGGCCAUACAUCAGUGCCAGCAAAAAUAUGAUCAUAUACCCAUCACAAAUUUAUAUGCCCAAUAAAACCGCAACCCCAAUCAAACAAAAGAUCAGAUGGGAUGAUCCCUGAGAUCGAGAAGAUAUCCUAUUCUUCGUAGCUACAAUUGUUUGCCAUCCAAACUGGUGGGCCUAAUUAUAGGCAUGUAAAUAGUCCUAACAUGUAUUUUUCAUAGCAGCAUCCGGUAUGACUGAACUUUCUUAAAAAUAGCUCGCGGCAUGCUAAGUUUACCAAACCAACAUACAAAUGAAAUAUUAGAAAAGACUACAGGACAAUUUUUACCUUGAUGAUUAGUGUGGGCUCUCAUGGUUCUUGCUUUCUGGCGAUGUAAUCGGACAUGGAUAUUCUUCACAUAUGCAAGUGCCUUCAGCCGUGGGUGGAGGCUGACUGACCCUUGAGGAGCUUGUGGCAUGUCUUGCACUCCAGGCAGUUCCCUCGUGGUGCUCGUACUUGUAGCAUGUUUGGCAGAUGGAGAAGGCCACACCCAUUGCAGGUGAAGUGCUCGACGUGAGCCCCACGUCGUCCCUGCAAAUGUAAUAUUUGAUUUACAGAAGGGGUUGAGUUCAUACUGUUUUUUAAAGUUCAGUGCCCAUCUCCAUAUUAAAGACAAAGAGGAAUUAUUUCAGUUUGAAGUAGAAAGGCAAUAACUUCGGAAUUGCCAACCUGCAAACAUAAAAAACAAAGCAAAGCAAAUAUUCUUAUGAUUUGGAAAACCAACAUCCUAUACAAGAAACAAUAUAAGUUCUAAUAAAUCACUGGUUCGGUUCAAACAUCAACACACAUAACAGUGGCACUGAUUCGCCAUGAAACCAUGCUAUUGAGUAUUGAGAGAUAUAGCAGCAGAUGCAUUUAGAUAUAUCUAGGCACAACGGCACAAGGAUUCACAACAGUGAUUAUAUGGGGAGUAAAAAACAUUUAGGCUACAUCUGGAGCUAUCUAUGUAUGUCCAAAUUUUGAUCUAGCGACAGUACAUUUAAAGAUACACAUACACACAUGUUACUACCAAUAAUUAUGAAUGGAUUGUACCUUACAAAUACACCAUACUUAAACAUUAUAUUCAAGCUAUCAAGGUCUAUAUAGAGUUACUUGGAAAUAAAGGAACACGCAACUGAGUUCUCGACAACAACUUUCCCGAAAAGGAGAUGCUCUAGAAAAGAAAUGUUGAUCCUAGCAUUUGGCAAUUUGUUUCAGACCAACCUUCCUUUUCUGUGUGCCACCAUGGUCGUAAAUGUGCAAUCUCAGAUAGUGCUGCUGACUGCUUACUACUGAGAUAAUCCUACUUGUUGCCCGGAGCUUGACACCAUUCAUCCUUCUAUAGGCUAGUGUUACAGAAAAGGGCAAAGAGCUAACAAAGGGCAUACUCAUAGUGCAGUGUUCCUUCCUACAACCCCUCGUUCCUAGUCAGUAAAAAGGCUUGCAACAAUUUAUCUUGGCUCCGCAUUUACUUUAGCUUGUCUGUCGAGUUAAACAAGGAUUGAGAUGCAGGUGGUUGUCACCUACUUUGGCAGUUUUGUACAACUAAAGGCCUAAAGUUAUCAUGGCACAGUCAACAAAUAGAACUUGCAAGUAUUAUGUACAUUUAAUUAGCAGAUGUUUCUCAACACAAAAUGCAAGCAACUGUGCAAGUAGGGUCUAAAAUUCAUGCAAGUAGUCAGAAUAUUUCCGACGCAAAUCAUACAAGUAGGAGGAAGAAACAAAUAAAAUGUAAAUAAAGAAUAGUUACCUUCAGUAAAUUGGUUUCUCCUAAGAAGGCAG